rnacentral:rRNA from 1 species
GAUGAACGCUGGCGGCGUGCCUAAUACAUGCAAGUCGAGCGAACAGAUGAGGAGCUUGCUCCUCUGACGUUAGCGGCGGACGGGUGAGUAACACGUGGAUAACCUACCUAUAAGACUGGGAUAACUUCGGGAAACCGGAGCUAAUACCGGAUGAUAUAUUGAACCGCAUGGUUCAAUAGUGAAAGACGGUCUUGCUGUCACUUAUAGAUGGAUCCGCGCCGCAUUAGCUAGUUGGUAAGGUAACGGCUUACCAAGGCAACGAUGCGUAGCCGACCUGAGAGGGUGAUCGGCCACACUGGAACUGAGACACGGUCCAGACUCCUACGGGAGGCAGCAGUAGGGAAUCUUCCGCAAUGGGCGAAAGCUUGACGGAGCAACGCCGCGUGAGUGAUGAAGGUCUUCGGAUCGUAAAACUCUGUUAUUAGGGAAGAACAAAUGUGUAAGUAACUAUGCACGUCUUGACGGUACCUAAUCAGAAAGCCACGGCUAACUACGUG